UCUCUCUCUGACUGUCUCCCUCUCUCUCUCUGACAAAAGGCUUGUGGUAAGGCCCUUCCUGGCAUCCAGAAGGAUAUAGCUUUUUAAUGUUUGUGACUCAUGAGGAUUUGGAUAGAACACAAAUGCUGAAGGAGCCCAAACUCCUAGACUGCUUAUCAAUAACAGCUGUAGUACUGUGGCUUUCCUCCGUGGACGUAUGGUGGUCUUUGGAACAACGUUCUUCAAUUUUGACAGCAUCCAAUUCAUGCUGGUGACUCUAGCCUGUCAUUGAUGCUGACCUGUGGUGUAUGGGCGGUCAGUUGCCUUGUAGCAGGAGAUUCAAGCAACCUUUCUGCAAUAAAUAAUGAAAUACACUUGAAUAAAGGGCACUUAAAAUACUGAGUUAAAGAAAA